rnacentral:lncRNA from 1 species
GCAAUCUUGAGAUUGUUCAAGGUCUCCUGAUGGUACUCGUGUGUACCAUGGGAAAAGUUAAACCUGGCAACAUUCAUUCCGGCACGAAGAAGCUUCUCUAUCAUUGGCACUGAUCGAGAAGCAGGCCCUAAAGUGCACACAAUCUUCGUCUUGGGGAUACGGCCAUCAUGUGGGAGCUCCUCCAAGAUUCCAUUGAUAUCUAUGUUUGACAUCUUAUUCUGUAGAAGCAGGCCCUAAAGUGCACACAAUCUUUGUCUUGGGGAUACGGCCAUCAUGUGGGAGCUCCGCUAAAACUCCAUUGAUAUCUAUGUUUGACAUCUUAUUCUGUCAAUUUAAAAGAAUGACAAGACACUCUUUUUAGGAGCACAUACAAGUAGCUAGUGUCUUAAUGAAGUAGAGUACUAAAAAAGAACAUAGCUGAAUUGCCUUGAACAUGGGUAACAAACAGUCUAACAGAUACUAGAAAAAAUGUCAUAUAAUUAAGAACACAUACAUGUAAAGUAAAACAACAUAAUGAUCUUUUACUUGGGUGAGAAAAUUAUCUCACAAUCAAAUACAAUAGCAGUGUUAUAGAGAAAUUAGGAAAAUCUUCGCCAUAGUUGGUUGAAAAUAUCCAAAGCAUGUCAAUUAACAGGAAAAUAGAUGAGAAGUUUUUCGAAUAGCAGAGAGGUACACAGAAAAUUCGAAGGGACAAAACAAGUGGAAGCCAGUAAAACAUGCUGAAGCAAACAAAAAGGGGGAUCCAAGACCAUAAUGAUUGAGAAAAAAAAAAGGCAUUUGGCAGCCUGGAACUUCAGAUGCCAGGAAAUCAAAGCAGAAGAGUAACCGACAAGUCUGAGAAGCAGAACGGAGAAAAAGUGGACUCACCAGUUACCACAGAAGCUAGAGUUCAGCCCUUCCUUUCUCUACUCAAAUGAUUGUGAUAACAACUACUCCUGCUACCCUAAUCUUAUCCGUACAGAAAGCUCUUAAUAGAGAAGGGAAAACCAGGGAAGGGAUGGAUAAGGGAUGGAAAAAGUGUUUUUCUUAAGCACUAAAAGUUAUUUUGGGGAGAAGCACCAUUUGUUAAAGGGCUUGUGAGCACCCAUUAU